rnacentral:rRNA from 3 species
GGUUAAGCGACUAAGCGUACACGGUGGAUGCCCUGGCAGUCAGAGGCGAUGAAGGGCGUGCUAAUCUGCGAUAAGCGCCGGUAAGGUGAUAUGAACCGUUAUAACCGGCGAUACCCGAAUGGGGAAACCCAGUGUGACUCGUCACACUAUCAUUAACUGAAUCCAUAGGUUAAUGAGGCGAACCGGGGGAACUGAAACAUCUAAGUACCCCGAGGAAAAGAAAUCAACCGAGAUUCCCCCAGUAGCGGCGAGCGAACGGGGAGGAGCCCAGAGCCUGAAUCAGCAUGUGUGUUAGUGGAAGCGUCUGGAAAGGCGCGCGAUACAGGGUGACAGCCCCGUACACAAAAGCGCAUGUGCUGUGAGCUCGAUGAGUAGGGCGGGACACGUGGUAUCCUGUCUGAAUAUGGGGGGACCAUCCUCCAAGGCUAAAUACUCCUGACUGACCGAUAGUGAACCAGUACCGUGAGGGAAAGGCGAAAAGAACCCCGGCGAGGGGAGUGAAAAAGAACCUGAAACCGUGUACGU